rnacentral:tRNA from 1 species
GCUCUCGUCGUUCAACGGAUAGGACACCGGCUUGCGGAGCCGGCAAUAGAGGUUCGAUUCCUCUCGAGAGCA